CACACACACACACACGCACACACACACACACACACACACACACACACACACACACACACACACACACACACACACACAGCAGCAUCAGUUUUGAUGUGCAUUACGGAGAUUAAAUUGAUAGCAGAUCCACUUUUUUUUUUUUACAUUUUUCAUGCUUCAUUUGGAUUCUUUCACUACUGUUUUUUUUUCUUGCAAUCGAAAAUCUGUUUUUAUGGUAAGCUAUUUUUUACACGAGCUAUGAGUAACUAACUACCUCUCUAAAACAAUAUUUCUUAACCCUUUUAGCUCCCAACUUUUCUAAAAGAAGUCUGAAGGUAGUCCGAAGAAAUUUAGAGCAAUUUUUCAGUGUUAAACAAGCAAUAAAAAUGUACCAACUAGCACAUUUGUAUUUUACAAGUCAAGAUCAAGCGUGAGAUUGUACUGCCCUCUAGAGGAAACAAAAAUAACUACUUCUGAAUUUUGGGAGAUGGUCUUCAUGCGAGUAUUCAAAACAGACUUCUUUACCAGAUGCACAGCAGGUGCACUGAUUGUCUAAAAUAGAGAGACGUAACAGUUUGCAGAUUGUUGAUGUUCAAGAAGUGUUGAGCUGUUCAGGAGCAUUUGACCACACAGCGGCAAAAAAAACGUUUUACAUUAUUCCUCCUGAAGAAAUAUUUCACUGAUACUGCAGUGCAGAAGAAUUGAAUCCUGAAGGGAUCAGAUGGACACAGGCAUGUUUUCUCAGGUCAUCAGGGAUACACAGGAAGUCAAAGGAGAUCAGGGCAUUCUCAGGCUGGAUUUAAACAAUUACCCCCUCCAAAGGCAUUAAAUAUCCCAAAAAUGACUUCUUGGACUUAAUUCAGUACCACGAAAGGGGCAGAUUAGUGUGUCAAAAUUCCAAAGGCUGUUUCUUACCAUAACUAGCCUUUAGAUGGUGCAAAGUGGCAUGUGUUUAUCAGUGGUACUGCUGGUCCUGCAGCUCUGCAACUGAACAAUAUUGGUUUGGUGCUUUUCAUCAGUGACAGUGUCCGUAUAUGGGUGGUCCAUUCAUGUGGGAACUGGUCCAACCUCCCACAAGUCCAAACAAAAUGGUGACUUUGCCAAAAAGCCUUAAGUAUUCCUAACCAAAAUGUUUAUUUCACCGUAAAAAUGGCGACUGGUGAACAAGGCAUCUCUUUUUCAUGUUUCUUACAAUUACUGUCAUCUAACUUUGAGAAUAUCUUUGUUUGCAGGCUUGUGUUGUCUAAUAUGCGUUAUAAUGGUGCUGUUAAGGUUUGAUUCUGUGAGUGAAGCUUUGUGGCCUGUGUGGGUAACUCUAAACACAUCCAAAACAGGGAUAUUGUUUAAUUAUAUGUUCAUUGGAUAGUCAGUAAUAUAAUGUAAAAUUAAAGUCAGCACACAGAGAAUAUCUGUGGAUGCUUUUAAAAUGCAUAAGAAUCUAUAUAUGAUAGUAUGAUAGUAAAGUAUGUUAAUGACAAGUAAACCACUUUCUAGUACUAUAAAAUAACUAUAAUGACAUUACCACAACUAUUAAGUUAAUGUAAGAUGAACCUCUGUUCCUACAAGCCACAGGUAAGAUAUAAUUGCAGUACAUCCAACAACAUUAGUAAAUAUAUGAACAUGCAAAACAGCCAUUGAUUUAUUUAUUUAUUUUUUCUUCAAGGGGAAAUGUUAUUUUUCUCUUUGUCAUAGUCCUCAACUCUUCUUGUCCUUUAACUUUGCAAAAAGACUCCCCUUUCAACUCCUCCAACUCAGGGAAAAUACAAAUAAAACAAAACCAAAUGCGGAAGGAUUCAUCAGGCCUGAGCAAAACACUGUUUCAGUAGUAUGGGGUCAACCUUCCUCCCCUCUCUUGUUCCCCCCAAAACAUCCCAAGAGUUAACAAUCAACACAAGUCUAUGGACAGCCAAUAGAAAUAGAAUACAUACAAUGCACAUUUUAUAAACUCAUGUCCAUUCUAUAAACUCUUUGCUUAUAUGAAUCACUCUUCAUUGGUCACAGUUCACUUGAUAGUUGGUGAUUACAUUACUGUCCUCUGGUGCUCCCAACACGCCCCAAGGCCAAAUAUCAUUGCACAGGAGGGACCCAUAGCACAAGUCUGCGUGAGCUGGCUUUGGUACAAACAUGAUCAACUGUUGGUUGCCAUUGUUGAGUGUGGCAGAAGAGCUAAAUCAGGACUGAUUCUUUCAAUUAACAAAAGUUGAAGCUGGAAAAACCAAGUUAAUUGCAUUGAUGAGAAUGUUUACUGGAAAUUAUUCUCGACAAGCCCUCAUCCCUUUAUCUCGCUCCAAACAUCAGCAUCCAGGCACUGUUCCUGUUAAGUGUUAUUCUAUGAUUUGUUUUAUAUUAACUUAAGGCAAUCAAACUCAGCUAUUAGUACUUCUACUGAGUGGAGGAAUAAUACAAUAAAUAUGUUUAUGUUUAUUCAUUCUGUCCUCUUCCUAUAGUGUGACACCAGGGAUGUCAAUUUUUUACUGCUGAGAAGUGAAUGUGUGGGAGGGAGAGGUCACCUUAAAGCCUGACUGAGAUUUACAAUACUGCAGUAGUGGCAUAAAUAAAAUAAAAGCACAGUGAAUCAUCUGUA